GGGCUUUAUGAGUUUAUUUACUUAUUCUUUAUCCAUUUUUAAACAAAACCGACAUUGAUUUAGUGCAACAUAGUUUUUGCCAAAAAGUAUGGCUUCUUGCGUUCUCUAGAUUUGUCUGAUUUUACACUAAAUUUUGUAUAACUUGUGACUUCCGCUAGGAUUUUUUCUGUUAAUUAUGAAAACAUCAGUCCCUACUCUCGUUCCAAAGAUUUUUUUUACUCUCAUUUUCCUCGAUUUCCAUUUUCCUCAACUGGUUUAUACCAGCCUGCUGUUCAGGGCUCGAUAGACGGGAUUUUCUUGCUGCGUUGAAGACACAUUGGUAGUCUUAGGCUGUUGUCUGCUUCUUGAUCGGGUGGUUGUCUCUUUAACAUAUUCCCCAUUUACACUCAUUUCUAUAUUGUGUGUUUUUCUUCUAAAUUGGUUAUGGCAUCAGUGUUAAUUGCUUUCAACUCUGAUUAUGCUGUUACACAAUGU
rnacentral:lncRNA from 1 species